UACGUAGGGGGCAAGCGUUGUCCGGAUUUAUUGGGCGUAAAGAGCGUGUAGGCGGCCAGGUAGGUCUGCUGUGAAAACUCGAGGCUUAACCUCGAGCUGUCGGCGGAAACCAUCUGGCUAGAGUCCGGAAGAGGAGAAUGGAAUUCCCGGUGUAGCGGUGAAAUGCGCAGAUAUCGGGAGGAACACCCGGUGGCGAAGGCGGUUCUCUGGGCGUACCUGACGCUGAGGACGAAGACGUGGGGAGCGAACAGGAUUAGAACU
rnacentral:rRNA from 1 species